rnacentral:rRNA from 1 species
CGGGAAAAGCUCAAAUUUGAAAUCUGGCGGUUCCUGCCGUCCGAGUUGUAUUCUGGAGAAGCGUUUUCCGUGCUGGACCGUGUACAAGUGCCUUGGAACAGGCCGUCAUAGAGGGUGAGAAUCCCGUCUUUGACACGGACUGCCAGUGCUCUGUGAUGCGCUCUCGAA